GAAUAUUCUUGUCGACUCAGAAGAUUAUUGUACUUCUAUAGAGGGCGCUACAAACACCGGCAAUGGCAGUCCCAACAGCAGAAUCAGUUAAAGAAGUGAGAGAGGUGACAAGGAUAGAAAGAAUAGGAGCACAUUCACACAUCAGAGGACUUGGUUUAGAUGAUGCACUUGAAGCCAGAAAUGUGUCCCAGGGAAUGGUUGGACAAGUUGAUGCCAGAAGAGCUGCUGGUGUUAUUUUGGAAAUAAUUAAGGAGGGCAAAAUAGCAGGACGUGCCAUACUGAUAGCUGGUCAUCCUGGUACAGGCAAGACAGCCAUAGCUAUGGGAAUGGCUCAAGCACUUGGAACAGAUACUCCAUUUACUAGUAUUGCUGGUAGUGAAAUAUUCUCCCUUGAAAUGAGUAAAACAGAAGCUCUUACACAGGCUUUCAGAAAGUCUAUAGGAGUCCGAAUUAAGGAAGAAACAGAAAUUAUUGAAGGAGAAGUUGUGGAAAUACAAAUAGACAGACCUGCUACAGGAACAGGAGCAAAAGUUGGAAAGUUAACCUUAAAAACAACAGAAAUGGAAACAAUAUAUGAUCUUGGACAGAAAAUGAUUGAAUCUCUUACAAAAGAAAAAGUAUCAGCUGGGGAUAUCAUCACAAUAGAUAAAGCCACAGGGAAAAUUACAAAACUUGGUCGUUCCUUCACAAGAGCCAGAGAUUAUGAUGCUAUGGGUGCACAGACAAAGUUUGUACAAUGUCCUGAGGGUGAAUUACAGAAGAGGAAAGAGGUUGUACAUACAGUGACUUUGCAUGAGAUUGAUGUUAUCAACAGUCGAACACAGGGAUUCUUAGCACUGUUUUCAGGAGACACUGGAGAAAUAAAAAGUGAAGUUCGAGAACAAAUCAAUUCAAAAGUUGCAGAAUGGCGGGAAGAGGGCAAAGCAGAGAUUGUACCUGGUGUGUUAUUUAUUGAUGAAGUACAUAUGUUAGAUAUUGAAUGUUUUUCAUUCCUGAAUAGAGCAUUAGAAAGUGAUAUGUCACCAAUUUUAAUUAUGGCUACAAACAGAGGAAUUACACGGAUACGUGGUACCCAAUAUCAAAGUCCUCAUGGUAUACCUAUAGAUCUGUUGGAUAGACUGUUAAUUAUAUCUACCACACCAUACAGCGAAAAAGAAAUAAAACAGAUAUUAAAUAUUAGAUGUGAAGAAGAGGAUGUUGAGAUGACCGAUGAUGCAUUGACCGUAUUAACCAGGAUUGGAAUGGAAACAUCAUUACGAUAUUCAAUACAGUUAAUAACAGCCGCAAAUCUAGUAUCACGGAAGAGAAAAGGUACAGAGGUAGAAGUAGAUGAUAUAAAGAGAGUAUAUUCAUUGUUUUUGGAUGAAUCAAGAUCAACACAGUUCUUAAAAGAAUAUCAACAAGAGUUUAUGUUUAACGAACUUGAUUAAGAAGACGAUCUAUUUUUAAGUUUUAUUCAUGAUGAUUGCUUUGUACAUGUUAUGUGCCACAGGUGAUACAAUGGACACUAGCUGAAGUUCAAAGUUCUUAUAAAACAUUUUAUGCUGCUGUUGAAAGACCAAUCAUCACAAUCGUUACAUAGCCGUGUGUUGUUCAUUAUCAAUAAAACCAUCUUUUUUGUUACAAUAUUUUCAAUGAACGAACUUUAUAAUCAAUAAACCAUCUUUUUUGUUACAA